UUCCGGUUGAUCCUGCCGGACCCGACUGCUAUUUGGGUGAGAAUAAGCCAUGCGAGUUGAAUGGGAUACCUAAAGUUCCCAUAGCAAACUGCUCAGUAACACAUGAUCAACUUACCCUAUAGAGAAAAAUAACCUCGGGAAACUGAGGAUAAUGUUUCAUAAUUGAAUUGGCUUGGAAAAGUUUUUCAAUGAAAAGGAUAAAAAAAAUGGUUUUUAUCUGCUAUAGGAUAGGAUCGUGUUCGAUUAUGGUUGUUGGUGAGAUAAUGGCUCACCAAGCCGAUAAUCGAUAGGGGCCGUGAGAGCGGGAGCCCCGAGAUGGGUACUGAGACAACGACCCAGGCCUUACGAGGCGCAGCAGGCGCGGAACCUCCGCAAUACACGAAAGUGUGACGGGGUUACCCAAAGUGUUCAAUUUGAACUGUGGUAGGUGAGUAAUGUCCCCUACUAGAAAGGAGAGGGCAAGGCUGGUGCCAGCCGCCGCGGUAAAACCAGCUCUUCAAGUGGUCGGGAUAAUUAUUGGGCUUAAAGUGUCCGUAGCCGGUUUAGUAAGUUCCUGGUAAAAUCGGGUAGCUUAACUAUCUGCAUGCUAGGAAUACUGCUAUACUAGAGGGCGGGAGAGGUCUGAGGUACUGCAGGGGUAGGGGUGAAAUCUUAUAAUCCUUGUAGGACCACCAGUGGCGAAGGCGUCAGACUGGAACGCGCCUGACGGUGAGGGACGAAAGCCAGGGGAGCGAACCGGAUUAGAUACCCGGGUAGUCCUGGCCGUAAACGAUGCAUACUAGGUGAUGGUACGGCCAUGAGCCGUAUCAGUGCCGUAGGGAAACCGUUAAGUGUGCCGCCUGGGAAGUACGGUCGCAAGGCUAAAACUUAAAGGAAUUGGCGGGGGACCACCACAAGGGGUGAAGCCUGGGGUUCAAUUGGACUCAACGCCGGG
rnacentral:rRNA from 1 species